GCCUCCCAGGCCACGCCACACACUUUGCAGAGCCACCUCCCGAGUGCGAGACCCACAGAACAAUCAUUUCACUUCUCUGGGCCUUGGUUUCCUCACCUGUAAAAUGGGAAUAACCACACCCACUUCUGCAAGCUGCUGUGAGGACGGAAUGAGAAAAGGAGCAGGAAAGGGCCUUGUUACCUGGGCAGUGCUCUGUAGUUGGGUAUGUCACUAACAGACCUUGUGCAAAGGGAGCAGGGCUGCAGACAAAGACAACUCCAGCUGAGGGUUCUGAAGAUUCUGAUCCAGGUCUCCCCAACAAAGCAUGCCAAAACACAUGCACCAGACUCUCCUUUCCUGCCAAAAUACAUCCCAUGUCAUGCUCUCCAAAAGGAUAAUCCUUUGCUAAAUCCUACACAAUCAUUUCCAAUGUUUGCUGGUAAUGGACACCAGAAAGCUAGUGAACUUUCCUUAGCUCUAAAUACACUUGCUAAUAACUCUUUCACAGAAAGAACUCCAUUCCUGCUGAUUUCAAGGAUCUGGAAAUCAGACUCCUAACAAAUUUCCUUUGACUUUGUUUCACAUAAUCCUGCUUCUGUUGCUUCAUGCUCUUCUCCAAGUGUGUUGGGUCCCAGCGGGCCAUUGUCCUCCGUGAAUGAUGGCUUCAGGCUCAACAAAUGGCCUCCAUCUAUCAUCACCGAGCUCCAGCGGCGACAACAGAGGCUCUUCUGUUUCCCUCCGCAAGCAGGCAGAGUAAUGGCCCUGCCUCGGACUCGUCUCCCCACUGUCUUGGGACAGAUAUCAAGAUUACUGGAGUUCUGGGGAGGGGGGUAAAGGCAGGGCCAUUUCCAGUUUCGACGUGAAAUCCUUCUGGUCUGUGGAGACUCCAUUUAUGUUCUCUACUCCCCGGUGGCCAAUCCUUUCUCCCACCCAUCCUCCACUCUGCAGCCCAAGCCUUUCUUCUAAACCCAUCAUCCAUCUCCUUGUUGAGCUCUGAGAAUCUAAUGAGAUAAUCAUGUUUGCAAGUACAGAAUGGGCAGAGCUGUUAAGGAGGACUGGAUUUGCAGUCACAAAGGCUGGGUUCAAAUCCAGCUCAGCCACUUUCAGAAUGUGUGACCUUGCAAGAGCUACUUAGCCUCUCUAAGCCUCCAUUUUCUCAUCUGCAAAGUAGGAAUGAUAAUGCCUGCCUCGUGGUGUCACCAUGAAACUCAAGUGAAUAAUAAAGGCAAUGGAUACUAAUCACUAAGCAUAGUGCCUGGCAAACAGAAGGCAUUUAACUGGGGCUGCUGUUGUUUUUAGAAAUGUAUGCUAUAAUAAUAUUAAUAAGAAUUUUAUGUCUUCCCUGCAACUCUAGAAAAAAGGAUGGUGGAGAUAAAUGAAUUGAGUUUACCUGUGGUGUUGAGUCUCGCUGACCGGAAGUUGGGGCCAGGAAGCCUGGUGGUCCCAGUUCCAACCAGCUCCAGCACAACCCGGGAUCUAGCGCAGACCCCAACAGGGAAAAAUAAGAUCUACCUCACAGUUCUGUUGUGAGUACUCAUGUGGUUACACAGACAAAUGUCAGUCUUUGGUUCCCGGCAUACAAUAGGUGCUACAGAAAGUUUGGCCUGUCAUAUUAGUUACUUAUUUGUUAGAUGCUUUAUGGGAGUCUAGGACAUUUUGCAAGGUGCUAGAUGACUUUUGGAGGAGGAAGAGGAAGAGGGGUAGAAAAGGGGAAUAAGACAUCAUCCAUAUACUCAUGGAGCUCACAGGGUAAUGCAGUGAUUCUCAGCCUUGGCUACACAUCACAGUCACUUAGAAAACUUUAAAAAAUACCGGUGCCCUGGCUCCAUACCCAGAAACUCUGAUUUAACUGGUCUGUGGUGAGGCCUGGGUUUCAGUAUUUGGCAGAAGCUUCUCAGGUGAUUCUAAUGUGGCCAGGGCCAAGAACAGCUGGCCAAUUUUUGGGAAGACAGAAACACAUAGAUGUUUUUAAUAAUAUAUACGCUUAGGGUUCUAACAGAGUUAUGUACAGAGGGUGGUACCAACACAGAUGAAGGCACAGAUAAUGCCUUGUUAUUUAAGCUGAGUAAUAGCGUGGGAGUAGUUUACUAGAAAAAAGGAUCUGCAAGAAGGACAUUCUGAGCCUUUACUGCAAGGCCCCAAAUAAAGGCAGAGCUGCAGUGAGUCACCAGGCAGGAACUGGAGCAAAGCAGGGCACUCGAGAGGCAAAUGAGAAGAGCUGGACUGAUUCUUACGAGCAGAGCUCCCUGGAUCCUCUACCUGUCCCCUACUCCUCAGCUGGGCCCCUGCUCCCAGAGGUUCACCACUCAAGACCAGAAGACCCCCUCUGUGUAGAAAAGAGAAAAAGGGCAUUCUGCAACAUCACAUGGCCCCUGGAAAGUUCCUUUGCUUCCUCAUCAACUGUUGCCACAUGUCUUGCAGAGAGGUCAAACACAGGGUGAGGCACAGGUUUGUUGUUUGGCUGGGGAUAGGGGACCAGGCACAGGUUUGCCUCCUGUCCAUGGUGCUGACCAAUCCUCGUGCUGGAGAACCGGGGUGCUCAAAGUGUGGUCUGUAGACACACGGCAUCAGGAUCCCAUGGGAGCUUGUUAGACAUGCAGAAUCGUGUGUCCCACCCAGGACUUACAGAAUCAGAAUCUGCCACUUAUCAGCAUCCCCAGGUGAUUUGUGUGCACACGUUAAAGUCCAAGAUGCACUGCACAAAGCCAGUGUUUUGAAACUGUAAGUUGAUCCCCUUCAUGAGCUGUGAAAUUAAUUUAGAACAUCCAAAACAGAAUUUUGAAAGAAAAUAAUGAAAUACAACAGAAAAGAAUAACAAAUGUCAGAGUUCAUCACACUUAUUAGGCUGGUGCAAAAGUAAUCGUACUUUCUUCUAUUACAUUUAAUGCAUUACUUUUCCUGCCAUUACGUUUAAUGGACGAAACUGCAAUUACUUUUGCACCAACCUAAUAGUAAGAGCAAGUAUUGUUACUAUAUAUAUGAGUGUUCUAAGCAGAACCUGAAAAGUAUUCAUUAUUAGGAAUUGCAUUUUUCAACAAUGUCUGAAAGUCGCUGCUUGUUUUUUCCUAAUUCUGGGACACUGGGGAUUUUUAUCCAGUAUCUCCCAGGAUUCUGAGACAGGAGAGGAAGCAGAUAGUGGGAGAAAUGAGGGUUAUAGGUUGAUACAAAAAAAGAGAAUGAAAUAUAUAAAAAGAGAUUGAGAAUUGAUAUAAAAAAAGAAUGAGAGAGUGAUACUGAGCCUCCAGGAGAUGUGUUCACUGAGAGAACACUGGGGAAGGAAAAAUAUAAACAAGGCUGGUUUCGACAUCAUUUACCAGUUACUACAAAAGAAACAACAGCCAACUAUAGCUCAAAGAUUGAAUGAAUAUCAUAUGGUGGAAGGAAUAUGGGUACGGCUUGGCGAAUGUAGGUAUGGACAAGUGAGUCUGUGUGGGCUAACAAGCGUAACCAGUUGUACAGAGAAGACUGGGUUGAGUAUUAUUGUCUGCAGAGUUACUUUAAAGUGCUCUUGACUUUCUUUUUUAUUUCAAUGAAAUUUUGUAACAAUUUACAUCACCCUUAAAACAAGUAUUGCAGUGAGUUUAUAUGUUUCGAUGUAUGUUGCUGAUUUCGUAUACUGAGAAUUCCCUAAUAUUUCUGAUGGUUUGCUCCCCCAGCCCCAGGAGCAGUGGUAGAAGUGAAGGCGGGCAGGCAAGAGUGCCUGCGGCUUAUAGUCAAUAGCCCUGGUGUUUUGCUCCUCACCACAAGCAGAUUUCUUAGGUUUCUGACCGCCCACCACCAACCAAAAAAUUCAAAGGCAAAACUCUACAGAACUUUGGAAAGAAAUAAGCAGAGGUCUCCUUAAAAUGCACAAAGACGCUUUGUUCACUUCAAGGGGUGACAGAACAAAAUGUCAAGAGUAGAAGUGACUCUGUCAUUUUUCUUCCUUUCAGAACCGGGCAAUGGGAGUUAUUAACCUCUUGCCACACGUCUGUUAUUUCAUUUAUACAACACUGUCCUACAUUUGAUUCUGCCAGGAAAUUGGUGUCUAAUGGAAGAUGACAAAAAGAAUGACUUUUAAAAUAAUUUUCUUCCAGGGUUUCAGCUUCAAGGAAGACACAACUCCAUGUAUCCAAACAUGUGUUUGUUCUACAAAUGGCAGAAUGAAGACCAGCCUAUCCUCCAUAAUGAGCCAUGAAGUCAGCUUGGACACUUUUACUUUAAUAAAAAAUGACCAAGUAACAUAUGUGUAAUCUAUAAAGCUAAUUUUUUUGGA